UUUGAGCAAACUCCGGGAGACAGUGAAGAACAGGGAAGCCUGGCGAGCUACAGUCCACAGAGUCGCAAAGAGUCAGACACAAUUUAUCGACUAAACAACAACAAAAAAUCAAACUAUGCAGUACUUGCUAGAGUCUGGAUGUGAGGCAAGGCUUGGGGCACCAGGACUGAUAGUCUUGGGCUGCACCCCGCAGGCUCCAAAGGAGGAACCCAGAAACAGCAAAAGAGACAUCCAAGUCUUAAAGGACGGGGGACCUCACAAGUCUGAAACAAAAGGUCCUGGAGCAAUACCCCCACCAUGGACAGCAAAGGGCAGGCAGAAAGGAACAACAACCUUCACUCCUCAGGCAAGAAAGAAGCUACCAUUUCUUGGCGAAACUGAUGGCAGGGUGGCUCAUCAGUUACCAGGGAAACAGGCAGCUGGGACGGGGGCAAGCACAGAGGCAGUUAAUGAUUAAGCCCUGUAAUUAAGAGGGUUGGUUAACCAGAUGAGUGAAGUGGGACUGGUCAAGAAGGGGAUGCUGCUGCUGCUGCUAAGUCGCUUCAGUCGUGUCCGACUCUGUGCGACCCCAUAGAUGGCAGCCCACAAGGCUCCCCCGUCCCUGAGAUUCUCCAGGCAAAAACACUGGAGUGGGUUGCCAUUUCCUUCUCCAACAAGAAGGGGAUACAGAGAGAGCAACAAAACAGCCAUCUUGAAUGGCCUGACCAUAUGCACCAGGACAGAGCUUUCUUUACACAAAGGCAGAGCAUAUGGCCAUGGAAAGAAUGUGAUUUCUAGGGUCGGUUUCUAUCGUUUGCCAAAAAACACAAACACUCUGAAGAAAAGCAGACUUUAAAGUCACAAUAAAUUAUAAGUUGAGUGAUCCAUACAA